UACGUAGGGCGCAAGCGUUGUCUGGAAUUAUUGGGCGUAAAGAGCUCGUAGGCGGCUUGUCACGUCUGCUGUGAAAUCCCGGGGCUCAACCCCGGGCGUGCAGUGGAUACGGGCUGGCUAGAGGCAGGCAGGGGAGAACGGAAUUCCCGGUGUAGCGGUGAAAUGCGCAGAUAUCGGGAGGAACACCGGUGGCGAAGGCGGUUCUCUGGGCCUGUUCUGACGCUGAGGAGCGGAAGCGUGGGGAGCGAACAGG
rnacentral:rRNA from 1 species